AGACAGCGCUAUCGCGCUUCCUCAGCCCGAACGGCAUCGAAGUAACGACUGGAUAAAGCAAGCUUCUUAUCCAUAACUCAGU
rnacentral:ncRNA from 1 species